rnacentral:lncRNA from 1 species
UGAAAGUCAGGUCGGAUUAAGCCAUAGUACGGGAAAAACUAUGCUACCUGUGAGCCCCGUCCAAGGACGUAAAAAGAAGUCAGGCCAUCACAAAUGCCACAGCUUGAGCAAACUGUGCAGCCUGUAGCUCCACCUG